UACGUAUGGAGCAAGCGUUAUCCGGAUUUACUGGGUGUAAAGGGAGCGUAGACGGAAAAGCAAGUCUGGAGUGAAAGCCCGGGGCUCAACCCCGGGACUGCUUUGGAAACUGUUAUUCUUGAGUGCCGGAGAGGUAAGCGGAAUUCCUAGUGUAGCGGUGAAAUGCGUAGAUAUUAGGAGGAACACCAGUGGCGAAGGCGGCUUACUGGACGGUAACUGACGUUGAGGCUCGAAAGCGUGGGGAGCAAACAGG
rnacentral:rRNA from 1 species